rnacentral:rRNA from 1 species
CCAGACUCCUACGGGAGGCAGCAGUGAGGAAUAUUGGUCAAUGGGCGCAAGCCUGAACCAGCCAAGUCGCGUGAGGGAAGACGGCCCUACGGGUUGUAAACCUCUUUUGCCGGGGAGCAAGCCUGAGCACGUGUGCCCAGGCGGAGAGUACCCGGAGAAAAAGCAUCGGCUAACUACGUGCCAGCAGCCGCGGUAAUACGUAGGGGGCAAGCGUUAUCCGGAUUUACUGGGUGUAAAGGGAGCGUAGACGGCAAUACAAGUCGGAAGUGAAAUACCCGGGCUUAACCUGGGAACUGCUUUGGAAACUGUAUGGCUGGAGUGCUGGAGAGGUAAGCGGAAUUCCUAGUGUAGCGGUGAAAUGCGUAGAUAUUAGGAGGAACACCAGUGGCGAAGGCGGCUUACUGGACAGUAACUGACGUUGAGGCUCGAAAGCGUGGGGAGCAAACAGGAUUAGAUACCCUAGUA